rnacentral:lncRNA from 1 species
ACGUGUCGCGUGGCAAGGCAACGCUGACCAGGGAACGAGCCACGUGGGCGAUCCGCGUGCGCAUGAUCGGACAACCCAGAUCCGUUCCCGCGCACACGGACGACCCAGAUCAAACGUGCGCACGGACGGCCCAGAUUCACGUGCACGAACGGCCCAGAUUCAAUCAGGCACGGACAGCCCAGAUUGCAUCGCGAUGAACGGCCUAGAUU